rnacentral:rRNA from 1 species
UACGUAGGGUGCGAGCGUUGUCCGGAAUUACUGGGCGUAAAGAGCUCGUAGGUGGUUUGUCGCGUUGUUCGUGAAAUCUCACGGCUUAACUGUGAGCGUGCGGGCGAUACGGGCAGACUAGAGUACUGCAGGGGAGACUGGAAUUCCUGGUGUAGCGGUGGAAUGCGCAGAUAUCAGGAGGAACACCGGUGGCGAAGGCGGGUCUCUGGGCAGUAACUGACGCUGAGGAGCGAAAGCGUGUGGAGCGAACAGG